UACGUAGGGUGCGAGCGUUGCCCGGAUUUAUUGGGCGUAAAGAGCUCGUAGGCGGUCUGUCGCGUCGGCUGUGAAAACCCGAGGCUCAACCUCGGGCCUGCAGUCGAUACGGGCAGACUAGAGUGCUGUAGGGGAGACUGGAAUUCCUGGUGUAGCGGUGAAAUGCGCAGAUAUCAGGAGGAACACCGGUGGCGAAGGCGGGUCUCUGGGCAGUAACUGACGCUGAGGAGCGAAAGCGUGGGGAGCAAACAGG
rnacentral:rRNA from 1 species